GCUCCCAUGGCGUAGUGGUCACUGCACUCGCCUUGCACGCGGGAGACCCGGGUUCGAUUCCCGGCGGGGGGCA
rnacentral:tRNA from 1 species